GCAAAAGUAGCCAUCAAAACAGAGUGCAAAACAAAACCAAAAUUCCACUGCAAACCACUGCAAAAUUAGUUUUGCAAUGUCCACAGCGCAGAUGCUACUUUUUAUUUUUGGAUUGCUUAUUAAACGAAAGGCUUUUGGAAAUAGUCCGAUCGUACCGCGGUUUGCCGUCUCCCGCCAUGACCACUACCUAACGGUUUCCCCCUGCCGCAAAACUCAAGUUUAUGCUGAAUCGGAAGCUCCAUGCUACGAUAAACCGAAGUGUUUGCAGUGAUCAGCAAUGAUUCCCCCCACGGGGAAUGUCGAUCUUGUUGAUGCUGUUCUUUUUCCUGCUGGACCAGCUAAUCGAUUAAAAGAGUCAGUAUGGUUCCUGACAGCUUGUAUUGUGGAACGGGAAGUUGACCAUCAUUGACCUGAACCUGGAAGCGUUGGACAGUAAGUUCAUGUUCUGUACAAACUGCCAGAUGGCCGCAGUGAUUCUGAGGAAAUCGCGCAUCGAGACCAUCAGCUAAGGACUAGCGUCGGAGGACAGCCAGGAGAGGAAUCUCCCGUGAGGAUUUUAUAAAGUUGAAAAUG